GAUCCCUCCUCUGGGAGUUUUUCUUCUACCAUUUUAAUGAUUAGAUGGUCCUGAUGUGGUGGAGAGUGUCUGUGCUGGUUCUGCUGUUGAGAAAUACAGAUACUGAUGUCACCACUGGGGAGAGAAUGGGGCAAGGACAAGUUCAGCAGUCACCAGAUAAGGAAGACCACUCUUUUUCCAUCAGUUUGAAGAGAUUUGGCAGAGUUUUAAGUAACACCAUAAUUUUCCUGAAGAUGGAUUUGCUUGUACAACUUGCCAGCUAGAGCUUGUGCUGUCCACAAAAGUUCCUCCCUUUUAGACACAUUUGCAACACUUCCCAGACCAGUUUGUUCAUUCACCUUACAGCUUGAAACCCUUGUUUCAGGGCAGGCUUGUUUCUUCUACUGUAUUUUUACUGCCCCUUGAGUGACAUCAUUCAAAUGGUGAGUCUCUGAGAGAUGAUUCAUACCGAAAAAGAUCUAAUAAUUGUUACCAGUUAUUCAAAUCAGUGUUACUGAUUUCCCGCAUCCUCCCACUGGUCCCUUGAGCUCCCCCACCCACUCGUUUUUCCUAAUAAU
rnacentral:lncRNA from 1 species